ensembl:lncRNA
CCCGGCGAUCGCCCCUCCGCUCCCCAGCCGUGGAACUCUCCCCGCCUCUGAGCUCGCAGAGAGCAGCUGUCUCCUGGGGCAGCACCGGCGGGGGAAGCAGAGCGCUUUCUGGGAGCCAUCACGGGAACGAGUGAAGAAGGCCGGGAGCUUAGCGUGAGUGCACUUUAUAACUCAGCCUAUCUGAAAGGCUGGCCCCUCAGCGUGUGAGCCGUGUACAACUGCUAAGGAGACAGCGCACGCCCCUUUUCGCACUGUCUCCACCCCAGUGUGCAUCUUACACUCAGUUCAUUUCCCUUGGACGGGCUUGCAGUGCCUGCUCGGCAAUGUCCCAGCGCUGCCCGCAUGCGGCCUCCUGCCAUCCAGGUCCCCUCCAGGCCCACAGCUCCCCGACUCGGGCCCGCAGAGACUGACUGUCACGAGGGAGGAUGAGUGAGCAUUACUCCUCCCUGCCCUUGCCUGCCCCAGGUGCCAGCCUGCAGUCCCGCAGCUUGGAGGGACCUUCUGGAAGGGAGAGGGAACAGCCCACGCCUGUGUGACCAAGUCCUGCACCUCUCAGCUUCCCCCCCUCCUGCUCUCCCAGGGGAGUUCACUGGGACACCAGGCCAUUCACGUGCCUCUCUGCGCUGAACCCAGCUGCCUAACACCAUGUGGACGCUGUGGAUGAGUGGAGAAAUAAGUGAAGACUGAAUAUAAACACUAAGAGCUCAACUUAAUGAAUGAAAUGUGCUCCAAAUUAUGCCCCCACACACACACACACUCUACACUAUGCACUGUGCUCCUCGGUGUGGGCCCUGGACCAGCAGCUGGGCAGCCCCCUGGGAACAGCCCCAGGUGCCCUAUGUGCAGACUAAGCUUGGGGAAGCUCUGCAGUGUGGCGGAGCAGGCAGGAUGGCCCACGAGGCAAGCUCUGGGUCCCUCACAGGCCAGCGUUUCUCUAAAUGUCAUGGGGUUGCAACGGUCUGCGAAGGUGAGUGAAAGGCAGCUCCGACGUGGAGCACAGGCUUGGAGUGGGAGGAGGUCUCAGCUGCCUUUGCUCCCACCACUCCCACUGUGCUGUGCCUCUGGGGACCCAGCUGACAGAUCCCGAGCACAGCAAGGCUUUGCUCUAACUAAUUGCCACCAGUUGGCUGCAGCUCCAUUCGUUAUUCAGAAAGCCUCAUUAAUCUCCUAAUGCCAGUGCAGCAGCCACUGCUCGUGCUGUUCUCCCAGUUCCUCCCGCGCCCAGUUCCAAGCAGGGCUUCUGGGCUCCUUCUGGCAGCAUGGCAGGGGGCCCCCUUCCUGGACACUAAGCUGGAGCCUGGGGACAGAGACCCGGGUCCUUGAGCCCUGCCCCUGGCUGGAGCAGUCCUAGCAGGCAGGACCCAAUUCUCGGUCACCCUUGGGCCACAGAGCCUCAGAAUGUCGGGAGGGGGCCUUCCAGCAACGCCAUGAGGAGGGUUCCUGGGGGCUGUGCGGGAGCAAGCUGCCUUCCCCCAGCGAAGCAAGGAGCUACCUGUGGGGAACGGGGCAGGAGGUGCAGAGGCGCGUUCUGGAAGGCCCAGGAGGAAGCCCUGAGGAAGUCAGUGUGCCCUGGCACAUUCGGUCUGCACUUCCCCUCGUACCCUACCGCCCACAGGGCACGACAAGCCUUUCUCCUCUGGGCGCUGUUUCUGAACACUUGUCCCUCUGGACAGUGCGUUGGAGGGGCGGGACCUGCUGUGACUCUCACACUGUCCCCUGGUGUCCCACAGCCACCCAGACUCACGCCCGUACCAUGGGGGGAAGAGGGUGUGGGAGGGAACGGGAGAGCCAGAGAACACGGCAGCUUGGGAGCACAUCUCAGCACGGCAAGACAACGAGGCCUCUCAGGAACAAGAAAGUGAAGCAAACGGUCCACUGCCCGCCUGUGUGGCCAGGGGCUGAGGCAGCCACAGUGCAGGGGCCUGUGUCAGCCAGCUUUCCCAUCACGGAGACCAAUGCCCGACACCCACAGCUCAAAGGAGGAGAGGUUUAAUUUGGCUCAGAUUUCAGGGGACUCAGUCCAUGGUCAGCUGGCUCCGAGGCAGGAACAUCAUGGUGGAAGGGCGUGGGGAGCAAAGCUGCCUAGUUCACGUAGGCAGGGAGCAGAGGAGGGGCAGUUACCAGGGAAGAAGGGGUGAGGGAUGAUCUAAAGCACCCAAAGCCACACCUCCAUGGCCAGCCGGACACACCCAGGAGCCUGCGCUUCGAGACUGCUAAGCGUCUCUAACCCAAUGAAGUCCAGUCUCAGGAUUUACCGUCAAAGACUCCAUCCUCUCUAUUCCUUCCAACAUUUUAUUAUAAAAUUUUCAAACAGAAAAAUUGAAAGAAUUAUACAGGACAUGUUCAGUAGAGAUGAUCGGUAUAUAGAUGGCCAUCAUUUCUGCUGGUUUUAUUUUUCAGAUGGACAGAUCCUCUGGCCUCCACUUCCGCCCGCCUUGCAGAAGCUCAUGUGAGCCCGCAGGCCUGGCCACAAAAUAUUCCGGUAUUUGUUGAAGCAAUACUGCCCUCUGCUGGCCUCAAGCCCUCAUGUCUCAGGGUCAGCUCUGUGUGGCAAAGGGCUGAAGGAGAUGAUUCCUCCUGUAUCAGCCCUUUGUCGUGCUCAUCCCACCGGUCGGCUUUGCUUGAGAUGCACCAGGCAGAGCCGUGGGCACCAGACUGAGGUCCAGCUGAGCUCAGAUAACUAAGCAAUGCGUUAGGCCGGCAAAUGUCUGUAUCUUCGUUCUCCUACAGCCACUUACUGUCUGCUGGUGUGGACGUAGCACCAGGGCUGAAGGCACGGCUGUGGGUUAGUACAUUGGGUGCUUCCUGCUUGGUGAAGUAGGGACCCUCAUGCUCUUUCUCUGGGGUCAAGAAAGCUAUACAGCAAAGAGUGAGCAAGAGAGCAACCGGACAGGGUCAGACAUCCCAGAGAAGAACCAAAAAGCACUCAUUUGCCUCUUGAUGCAACAACUGAACUUAUCCGGGUGGUUUGUUGACGUCAGGUAACUACCUUGGCCCUUGGUGUGUGUGCUGUUAAAUAUUCCGAGGCAGCGAUGUUUGAGUCUCUGCCAAUGUGAGAGGCGUGCAGCAGAAUCGACCUGCAGACAGGCAGCCUGGGGGGCGAGGGCCAAGGACCUGGGAGCUGGAAGAUGACCCCCCUGGAAGUCUUUAGCAGUGGUUCUCAGACUUGUGCCACCAUUACCAAGGAGGUUGUUAAACCAGGAUGCUGCCCCACCCUGCCUGUCUCUCCCCAUGUGCAGGGCAUGAAGCCUGAGCAUCUGAAUUUCUAGAAGUCUCCCCAGUGACUCCCUGGAGCAGCCUGCGGACCCCUGGGCUUGGCUGUGCUGUGCUGUGCUAACAGCUCCUGCAUGUGAUGACUUUACACCAUAAGAAUGUGUUUUGUUUGCGCUACUUGUGGAAAAGUGUGGCUGUCGUAGAGUCAGCCAUGAACCCAGGCCAGCAGAUGGCACCCACCUUAGGGCAGCCGCUCUCGGACGCUAGGACCUUCUGGGUUGCUAUGACCUAGAUAAAGAAACUGAAGAGCAUGUGUGGGCUUUUCCAUGUCCCAGCCAGAAGGGAUGACAUAAAUCUCUCCCACUCACAUCCAGCAGCCAGGACAUCUCACGCAGCCCAGCCAGGUUCCAGAAGGAGUCCUCUACCUUCCCAGACAAGGUCCAGAGAUGCGGUGAGCACACCAUCUCCCCUGCCACUCCAGUGUCUGCACAGCUGAGGACGCAUGUGUCACAGUGGUCCCUGACAGCACAUCUCAUUCUCCGAAGUGCUGGUCACAGAGUGAUGAUGACAGUAGUGAGGAUGAUGAUGGUGGUGACCUUGUAUGGUGGUUAGCAAUAUGACGCCCUCUUUCCUGUCUCUCGCGAGCGUGCCUGUCAGAUGGACCAGCAGCAGGAAUGAUGCUUUGGGAAACAGACAGGAAUGAGGGCUCCCUGGGCCCUGGCCCCAUCCUGAGAAUUAAACCGAGAUUCUGACGCACACCUUCGGCAAACCCAAGUCUGGAGAGGGACCGACAGCAGACAUGGGGCAUCCGGAGCCCUUGUUCCUGUGUGGGCAGGGGA